CUAGGACGAGGCAAGGCAGGACUCCCCGAGAAGUGCAGGAGCUCUCAGAGAAAGGAAAUGAAGCAGUGAAAGCAUCCUCCCAAAAGGGACUUUUAAAUCCUUCUACCUGGGCUGAACUACAGAGAAAAGGAAGCUAUUCUCACAGAAAGAUCUAUGGGAUCACAGAGUGGAGGGGACCUGAGCCCCAUGUCAUGGGACAAGCCCUGGGAAGAUGGCACCAUUCCCAAGACACAUGAGUUCUAUCGUUUGCCACCAUUUCCACUGCCUGGACCAAAGUAGAUGCUCAAAGAGUAUUCCCCGAGUGAAAGGAGGAAUACAGCAUCGGCCCUCUCAAAGAACUCUCCAGGAAGACUUUCCUUCAUCAGCAGCAGGGAAAGCUAAUGAGGGUCAUAUCAUCCUGCCUCCCAGGUGAGGUCUGAGAUGUCUGCACUGUGCACCUCCGCAGGCACGUGGUGGGUACCACCGGCUUGGCUUUGCAGAGAUACCAUGUGCCCCAGGGAGAAUCUGGGCAGUGAAGUCAGCUCUCUGUCUUAGGGAGUCUCUCCCAGAAGGGCUGUUGUGCCAGGGGGAUUGGACUCUGCCGGCUUUGUUUCCUGCUUAGGACCACCAAGCUCGUGGUACCCCCAGGACUCUUGGAAUCCUGUCUAGGCAGCUUGGAGGGCUGUCUACGUGGCUUCUUGGACCUGAACCCUAACUGGACCUGUGCAUGGUUUUGCAGCCCAGAUGUGAAACAGGGAUCAUCCCACCUCACCAGCAAUCCCCCUUGUUUUAAACUGCAGUUAAUAACUGGCUGGGCUGAGGGAGCCCCCUUUAUCAUAGUUUACGUGCAGCCUACCCCCUGGAAUCUGAUAAGGUCUUUGGGUGCUGGCAGUACCAAUUUUUAUCCAUUAUUUUUUCUAUUACGGAUAAUUCCUUUCCACACUGGAGUCACCCAGAGGUUGGCUUGAGCCCAGCCACAUGAAGACAAAUGCCAGUGGUUUUGCCGGGUCCCGGGUGCCCUCUGUUUCAUUAAAGCAAC
rnacentral:lncRNA from 1 species